CCCAUAGCGCCCCAUAGUACUCCAUAAAGCCCCAUAGCACUCCAUAAAGCCCCAUAAAGCCCCAAAUAACCCCAUAGCACCCCAUAGCACCCCAUAUCACCCCAUAACGUUCCAUAAAGCCCCAUAGCACCCCAUAAAGCCCCAUAACACACCAUCGCACCCCAUAGCGCCCCAUAAAUGAACGAAUUGUGCUUCAUUCUUAUAUGGGAUUGCAGCUGUGGGGCCAUAAUGGGGUUCAGGUUCAUAAUCCCAUCACCCCAUCCCACUGUCACCCCAUAACCCCAUCACCCCACCUCAUAGAGCCUCAUAGAGCCCCAUAGUGCCCCAUAGCACCCCAUAUAACCCCAUAGCACCCCAUAGCACCCCAUAAAGUCCCAUAUCACCCCAUAGCAUCCCAUAUCACCCCAUAACGUUCCAUAAAGUCCCAUAGCACCCCAUAAUACCCCAUAGCACCCCAUAGCACCCCAUAGCACCCUAUAUCAUCCCAUAGCACCCCAUAAAGCCCCAUAGCGCCCUAUAAAGCCCCACAGCACCCCGUAGAGUCCCAUAGAGCCCCAUAAAGCCCCACAGCGCCCCAUAAAGCCCCACAGCACCCCGUAGAGUCCCAUAGCACCCCAUAAAGCCCCACAGCACCCCAUAGAGUCCCAUAGCGCCCCAUAAAGCCCCACAGCACCCCAUAGAGUCCCAUAGCGCCCUAUAAAGCCCCACAGCACCCCGUAGAGUCCCAUAGCACCCCAUAAAGCCCCACAGCACCCCAUAGAGUCCCAUAGCACCCCAUAAAGCCCCACAGCACCCCAUAGAGUCCCAUAGCGCCCUAUAAAGCCCCACAGCACCCCAUAGAGUCCCAUAGCGCCCUAUAAAGCCCCACAGCACCCCGUAGAGUCCCAUAGCACCCCAUAAAGCCCCACAGCACCCCAUAGAGCCCCAUAGCGCCCCAUAUGUCCCCAUAGAGCCUCAUAGAGCCCCAUAUGUCCCCACAACACCCCCAUAAAGCCCCAUAGAGCCCCAUAUGUCCCCAUAGCACCCCAUAGAGCCCCAUAGUGCCCCCAUAAAACCCCAUAAAGCCCCAUAAAGGCCCAUAGCGCCCCCCUAAAACCCCAUAGCACCCCAUAAAACCCCAUAAAGCCCCAUAAAGCCCCAUAGCACCCCAUAGAGAACCACAGCACCCCAUAAAGCCCCAUAUGUCCCCAUAGCACCCCAUAGAGAACCACAGCACCCCAUAAAGCCCCAUAUGUCCCCAUAGCACCCCAUAAAGCCCCAUAGCGCCCCCCUAAAACCCCACAGCACCCCAUAAAACCCCGUAAAGCCCCAUAAAGGCCCCCUAAAACCCCAUAGAGCCCCAUAGCGCCCCAUAAAGCCGCAUAGCACCCCAUAAAGCCCCAUAGCGCCCCCCUAAAACCCCAUAGCACCCCAUAAAACCCCGCAAAGCCCCAUAUGUCCCCAUAGCACCCCAUAAAGCCCCACAGCGCCCCCCUAAAACCCCAUAGCACCCCAUAAAACCCCGUAAAGCCCCCUAAAUCCCCAUAGCACCCCAUAAAACCCCGCAAAGCCCCAUAGCACCCCAUAGCACCCCAUAAAACCCCAUAGCACCCCAUAAAACGCCAUGGCACCCCAUAAAACACCACGGCACCCCAUAAAGCCCCAUAAAAGCCCCAUAAAGGCCCAUAUAUGGUUUUAUGGGGGGGGCGGAGGUGACGCCGCCCUCAGGAGGGGACAGUGCCACCGCCGCGACCUCUGACCCCACAGCCGCUGCCGUGGGGACACCCCACUGUCACCCCACGUGUCCCACUGUCACCCCAUUAUCAGCCCACUGUCACCCCAUUAUCAGCCCAUGUGUCCCAUUGUCACCCCAUUGUCACCCCACAUAUCCCCAUUGUCACCCCACGUGUCCCAUUGUCACCCCAUGUGUCCCCAUUGUCACCCCAUUGUCACCCCAUUGUCACCCCACGUGCCCCAUUGUCACCCCAUUCUCACCCC
ensembl:lncRNA